CUCUCCAGCUCCAGCAAGUAACUACUUAAAAGGAGAAAUAUAAACCACAAUUAUAAAAUCUCUAGAAAAUAAUGAAAGUAAGUUUUGAUUGCUAAAUAUCUGGAUAACCAUUCUGAAAUUUAUUUUUAGGUUCUUAAAUAUGCAGGACUGAAAAAAGAAGACAUUGCCAUGUGGGAAGUAAAUGAAGCAUUCAGUGUGGUUGUACUAGCCAACAUUAAAAUGCUGGAGAUUGACCCUCAAAAAGUAAAUGUCCAUGGAGGAGCUGUUUCUCUGGGCCAUCCAAUCGGGAUGUCUGGAGCUCGGAUUGUUGUUCACUUGGCUCAUGCCUUGAAGCAAGGAGAAUUCGGUCUGGCUAGUAUUUGCAAUGGAGGAGGAGGGGCUUCCGCCGUGCUGAUUGAGAAGCUGUAGACAUCUUGUUUUAGGAGACAGUUCCACGUGACCCGCUGAAGUGAACUACCCCUUGGGCCAGAUUAUAUUCAGGAUAAGCUAUUUCAUUUUUUAUUAUUUUCUACUAAAAAUUUUUAAAAAUCACAUCCAAAAACCCAUUGAAAUUGCAAAUAAAAAUUUCUCCUCCUUUAAUAUUUUUUGGUAAACAGUCGGAUACUCUACUAUUUGAAAUACACUGUAGGUACUAGAGGCAUGGCUCAGCCGUUAAGAGCACUUGUUGCUACCUGUGUGGUGCAUGGCUUUAAUCCCAGCACUUGGAGACAGAGGCAAGUGCAUCUUUCUGAGUUUAAAGUUAGCCUGGUCCACAGAGCUAGUGCCCUGACAGCCAAGACUACACAGAGUAGUAGAAACUCUGGGGGGAAAAAAA
rnacentral:lncRNA from 1 species